UACCCACUGAGGACUACUUGUUUUUACAGUAGUUCUCACGCCCAGUUGUUACUACUGUUUUGCAGAGCCACCGGUUUCAGUUGCUGCGCCUUCCGAAGCUGAUCGAGGUAAGGGCGUCGCGAGUUAGAGCCCUACCCGACGAGUUGCUGAGAUAGAGGAUCCACUAUUGCAGAUAUGGGCAUGGGACAACCUGCAUAUUGGCCGCCCUGAGGUAGUAGGCCCGCAGCCUGAGCUUGUCGACAUGCCAUUAGGGCGUCGGUGGAAUACUAGAUUAGCAUUUCGGGACAAUGUCAGGACUACUGACAUUGAGUUUUAUCGUGAUCAGCUGGAUCAGCAGUUAGAGUCUCAGGUAUAUACAAGUUACUCAAUCUGUCGAAUUUUGUAUUCAAUAAUGUGAUUUAUCAGUAUCUUCCCAUUAGGAACACUUAGUUGCAUGUCAAGUUUUACUCUAGCUGCAUGCCUCAGGCCAAUGUAUAGAACAUACCAAAACCCAAUAAAAAACAUCUCC